rnacentral:rRNA from 1 species
AUUGAACGCUGGCGGCAUGCCUUACACAUGCAAGUCGAACGGCAGCACGGGAGCAAUCCUGGUGGCGAGUGGCGAACGGGUGAGUAAUGUAUCGGAACGUGCCCAGUCGUGGGGGAUAACGUAGCGAAAGCUACGCUAAUACCGCAUACGAUCUGUGGAUGAAAGCGGGGGACCGUAAGGCCUCGCGCGAUUGGAGCGGCCGAUAUCAGAUUAGGUAGUUGGUGGGGUAAAGGCCUACCAAGCCGACGAUCUGUAGCUGGUCUGAGAGGACGACCAGCCACACUGGGACUGAGACACGGCCCAGACUCCUACGGGAGGCAGCAGUGGGGAAUUUUGGACAAUGGGCUCAAGCCUGAUUCAGCAAUGCCGCGUGCAGGAUGAAGGCCUUCGGGUUGUAAACUGCUUUUGUACGGAGCGAAAAGGCUCUCUCUAAUACAGGGGGCUCAUGACGGUACCGUAAGAAUAAGCACCGGCUAACUACGUGCCAGCCGCCGCGGUAA